UACGGAGGGGGCUAGCGUUGUUCGGAAUUAAUGGGCGUAAAGCGCGCGUAGGCGGACCUGCAAGUCGGGGGUGAAAGCCCGAGGCUUAACCUAGGAACUGCCUUCGAUACUGCGGGUCUCGAGUCCGGGAGAGGUGAGUGGAAUUCCUAGUGUAGAGGUGAAAUUCGUAGAUAUUAGGAAGAACACCAGUGGCGAAGGCGGCUCACUGGACCGGUACUGACGCUGAGGCACGAAAGCGUGGGGAGCAAACAGG
rnacentral:rRNA from 1 species